CUUGCACGGAACAAUAAUUUCACGGGGGAAAAAACGCCAUUAGCACAUUGCAGCUGGCGCAUACAGUGAUCUUGAAAAAGACAAAUUAUGGAUAGUGAGCAGCACUUAAUGAAUUUAUUAACUUCCACUAAAACACUGAAAUGCAUCGCGACAAAAACGAUUUUUUUUUUUUUACAAGAACAAUUCUUCAUAUGAGGCAAAAAAAAGAAAAGAAAAAACACUCUAAAUGACGUACAAAAUCAAUCUUUUCUGCUCUCGUUUUUAACUGAGUAUAAAAUACACCUUUAACAAUAAAACAUUGAAAUUCUAGUCUAUCACAGAUCAGAACUAACAACAUGUUUGUGUACAGGCUAAGUGUUAAAUGAAGUCUAUGGCAGGAAGAUUAUUUCACUAUCAUCAGGCAAAAAACAAACAAAAGAAAACAAGAAGAACAAAGUGAACGCUUAUAGUCUAAUGAAUAUUCAUGAAACACCCAGUACAGGCUAAGCCGUUAGAGAGCUAAUGGGUGUACACUGCACUGUAAAUCAGUUGUGUAUAGGCUCUGUAACACACACAUCUAGUGGAAGUUAUCGUUUCAUUUUGAUGCAUCUGAUAAAACUUGUGAAUUUAAUUUCUGAUAAUGACAAUCUAUAUGAUGUGCAGCGAACUUGAUUUUUUAUUUGAUAUUAUUUAAAUAAAGCACUAGGAUAAUAAUAAUAUCAGCACAAGAAGGAACGUGUUUCAGAUGUUUGAUGCAAUUCAGUACUGUUACAUUUCAAUCACAGGGUUUUCAGUCGUCAUUUCUUAUUAGUCUGGUAUUAUCAGUUAAUCAGUUAUAAUCAGUUAAUCAGUUAAUCAGUGUGCUGCUUCUGGAUGAGUUGAGGAGGAAUAUUGAUGGAGAUCAUUACAAGCGCUUUAGAAAAGAUGUCGUUCUGAUUUCCUGCAUUAUAACCCGCUAGGGAAAAAACCUAAGUGCUCGGAGGAACGAAUUAGUAAAUGGGCACGUGACCUAAAUGCGCGAGCACGUGUAGGUAUUUUCGCGUACAAUGCAAGGAGCCUAAUUACACCCAGUCCAUAAUCUAAACUCUUGCUGUUUUUUUUUUUUUAAUUAUUAUUGUUAUUAUUAUUUCUCAGUGACGUUUUGUAAUUGUAAAUAUUUACCACGUUGUAUUAUGAUAUUUGCUCUGCUCUGUAGACUGCACAUCCCGGUUUAAACAGUUAUUUUACACGUGCUCUUUCAUCUUGUAAAAUUUCAUCUUGUGUAAAACACUGAAUGGAAUAUAGGUUUGCAGAAAUAUCUAUUAUUUAAAACUUAGCUCACCCUUACUUAUAGAAAACGAAUAAUAAUUAUAAAAAGAAGGCGAUUUGAUUUUUUUUCACACUUCCCAUGUCCCAAUGUGACGUGAUGGUUAAGUAACGAGAAUUGUUGCCUACAUGUUUUCUCAUUCCUUGUGUGAGAUUUAAAAAAAAAAAAAAAAAAAAAACACACACACACACACACACAAAAAAAACGGGAUCAAUUUUCACACUUAAUAAAUAUUAGUAAAUGUUCCUGUUAACAAAAAAAGCCGAGGUGCAUGUUUGUAUGGGAAUAUUAGGUGUGUUCGGUAGGAGAAAACAAUUAACUCGUGUAAAAAGUGUGUACUAGGGCGGAAGUAAAAAAUUGUUAGCGCAUGUUUAAUCCCGCUAAUAGCCUACAAAAUAUUUGUACUUAACAGUACCACCACCACCACCACCAAAAACAACAACAUGAACAACAACAGGAACAACAACAACAACAACAACAACAAUAAUAAUAAUAAUAAUAAUAAUAAUAAUAAUAAUAAUAAUAAUAAUCUUGAGAUAUAUUACCCCAUUUCCCCACUAGACACUAAAUUUCUCUUUAAAAAUGGAUAAAACACGCCGCAUGUUUUUACAUGAACAAACCACUAGGUGUCGCCAAGCAUCGCGGAACUGCUUUCCACUGACCCAGAUUUAAUUUUCCUUAAUUUGAAAUAAAACUAUGACGUGUUCAAAUAAAAAAAAAAGACAGCUUUAGUUGCUGGCCAGUUCUGCCAUAACUGCACGAUAUAUUUACUUUUAAAUGACUGUUGCUCGUCAUACAUUUGACCUGAUGACCAGAGAGCCGCUGUGCACACCAACGCACAGAGAUCUCAUAAGCUGUAACAUACAAUUUUAAUAAAAUAUACUGCAUCUAAAAAGGUCACCUGCAAAGAAAUAAUAUUUUGCCAAAUAAAAAUGUUAUCAUAUAAUUAGACCGAAAAUAUAUGACACCAGUAACGUUUGUGAUAGGCAACAAUAAAAAACAAACAAACAAAAAAAAACGUAAACAUGAUAACAGCAUGAACACACGCACACACACACACACACACACACACACACACACACACACACAAAAGGCUUAUCUGUAUCUGCAUGCAUAUAUUUAGCGCGUGCAUUUUGCAACCUGAAUAAAGUGUUAAAAUAAUAUAGACUUGUAUUUCUACUGUUCACAUAUCGAUUUCCAAUCCGGGUAUCUGUCCUACGUGAUCUCUAAACGAAAUUACAGUGCACUAUUUUUGCCACGACUCAAGAAAAGACCAAAAUAAACCAGAAUUACAUGUUAUAUUGCUCUCUGAAAACGACUAAAACGGUUAAAAAGUUGUUUUUUUUAUUCUGUUUUUCAGAACUACAAAGGAUACCUGUAUGAUAUUUCAUUCAGAUUCAUAUAAAUUAUUCCGACUAAGAAGAAAAUAUAGUCGAGAAAAGAUACCCUAGAAUUAAAUAAUAAUUAAUUUAAAAAAAUAGUCAUCAUAAAAACUUCCCGAUUGAAAUACGACCUUGCGCGACAAGAUGGCUUCAUUAUUUAACAGUAGCUGUGUGAUUUCAUGACUGUGAUUUCCUGUAGGCUACUAGAAAAUAGUGAAAGCAGCGAAGGAAAUGGUGAAUAAGACUUUUAACGGUAGGAGAAGCAUGAGCAUUAAGAAUUCCCAAGCAAACAUAUCAACAUAGUCUACUAAUUUAAAAAAAAAUAACAUGAAAUGUGGCUGAAUAGCCAUGAUCUGAGUGACUGAUGCUCGCAGUGGUCGAAUUGGUUAAGUUUUUCAUAAUAGUUCAGUCACUUUUAAAUUCUUUUAUGGCUGAAAGACAAGUCAGUGUGUGUGUGUGUGUGUGUGUGUGUGUGUGUAGGCCUAUAUGCGGGUGUCUAAGUACGUAAACUACAUGGAGUUAUGAAACUGAAGGAUUUGGUUAGAAUUAAAUGUGUAUGCAUGUAUGUAUGUCUAUGUAGCAUAUUGUGGGGGAAAACCGCUGAAAAGAUAUCCCUCAUCCUCGUUUUGUUUUAGCUCAUUUCCCCCCGCUUUUUUAGGUGGGACAAGCGCCUUCCUAUUCUAAUUGCAUUGUAAAUAUGCAUCACCAUGAUAAUGGGGUCGCGCGCAGGCGUAGCCCCGCCGCUCACGUGCGCUUCACAACUUCGGGCCCUCUCACUGCGUGUAGAUGGAGGACGGGGUCAGAGGAUAAACUAGCUUACAAGUAAAGUUCAAUUUCUCUCGGUAACAAACAAGGAGACGCAACUGGGCUUGUCCCGAAAAUAUGCAUGAGCCUAGCAACACGCGUGCAUAUAGGACAGCACGUGUCUCGAGCCGCCUGGGAUGAAAAUCUUUACGUGUGCCCGUCUGGCCACUUCUAUUGGGUGCCACCUCAGCUGAGCAGCUCGGAGCAAAGGUGCAUAAACUGAAGAGCGCUUAGACACGCACAAAAAAAAAGUUCCGGAGAUGCGUGUUGCCUCGAGUGUCAGCGUGCAAAAGGGUAGAUUAUUAAUGGGCGGCGGACACUAAGCGUUGGUUUUAAGGGUAAGUGUGACGCAAAAUGAUGUGUCUGUUCAUAUGAAGUUAAAUGCCUUAGUUAAGGGUUGAGCCUGCAACCGAUGACUGAUUACUGAUUUCUUGCUAUCAGAGGAUAGGAAACAGAAUCAUUAUCCAUCCUGUGCGGUGGAGCUAUGAAUACUUGAGUCGUCAAUACAUGCGCUGUAGUCAGUGCAUUUGCAUAUGACGUGUAAUUAUGCAGUUAUAGCAGUCUAAUACAGCCGGGAUGUGCAGACAGUAUGUUUCACACAGACUCCUUAUACGAUUGCUUUUUUUAAAAUAGAUAAAUAAUAAUAAUAAUAAUAAUAAUAAUAAUAAUAAUAAUAAUAAUAAUAAUGAUAAUAAUAAUAAUACAUUUCUAGCAGUUACUUCAAUGAAUCUUGCGUAGGCUAUAUAGGCCUCAUAUAUAGAGUAUAACUCAUAUGGUGUUACGUGAUCAUGCAAAAUGAUGCAAAUUGUUACUAAACGCGUGUUGUUCUUUUGUUCGGCCGUCUUUGUUAGUACACGUAUUUGUGCAUGUAGUGCAUGGGUUUGAAUAGUGUAACUCUAAUGAAUUUUUAUAAUAGAUGUUGGCGAAUCCGAGACUUUAUGAAAUCGCAUUUCUAAUGCAUAGAAUAUAAAGCAAAACAAAGAAGAAGAAGAAAAAAAGAGCAUUCUGAACCUACCGCUCGCCUAACAUGCUGCUGUUUUAAACAAAAAGGGAAAUGAAGAAAACAACACAGCCACAGCCACUGUGAAUGCAAAAGAGAUGCAAAUAUACCUUUUACAUAUGCAUCAAUAUUUAAAAUAACACACAUGUUGGAAGCGUCUGCAGCGAUGAACCGAGCGGUGUCUCAGUGCGCGCGGGCGCCAGUCUUCGCUCCUUCAGCGCGCGCUCCGGAUCCUCACCAUGCAGAUGCUCGCCAUAUUCAAAACAAUAAACAAACACACAUACAUACACACACACACGCACACACCAAAAAACACACACAAUACGCGCCUAUUCUCUUCAAAUGGAAAACGAGCCUCUUCGGAUCCGACGAGGGUAAAAUUUACUCCGAGCGCUGAUAGAAAGGCGACGUAAGGGGAUUUGCAUAUUUGAUGCGCUAAUUUCCUUGAUGUAUUUAAAUAUGGCUGCGCGUAGCAGAGCGGCUUGUCUACGUCACUGGACGUGACCUCGUUGUUAAAUCUAAACGCGAAUCCGCUUGCAAUCAUGGAGAAUUAGAAAGAGGGACAGAAUUACGCGUUGUAACGUCAUUACUAAUUUUCUAAUACAAAAAUAGCUUAUUUAAAAAAAAAAUUAAAUAAAAAACAGUUGAACUUGAACUUGACAUUCAAUACGCUUGCGUAUGUGAUGAGAAAAAAUACAGGUAACAUAAUAAUAAUAAUAAUAAUAAUAAUAAUAAUAAUAAUAAUAAUAAUGUGGGAUGGUCUAAUAAUAGGCUUAUUAAAAGGUUAUGCAUUACACAGUCCGCACUUUUAUUGAAGGAAUGUUCACUUAUUAGUGCCAAGGCCUCUCGCGUGCUUUCUUUUUUAAUGAAUAAAUGAAUGAACAUAGUAUGUGCUUGGUGUCUUAUGACUAAACUUAGACUUCUUGCUCUUUUUUUUUUUUUUUUUUAAAGCGAUGCUUUCUCUUGACAGUAUGUGUUUUUUUUCUCCCUGCUCUAAUAAUGUCCUCGCUGUGUAUAAAGACGGCGAGCGCGUUCCGUCAGUCCGCUCGUGUGGGGCAGAAAAAAAAAGCUCGAGGCAAAUUCAUUAGCGCAGUCAGUGCGUAACCUGCUCUGGGAAACUGGGGGGCUACAGUCCACGCCAAUAAGGGGAACAAUGGCUCCUCAGUUCAAAUCCAACAAAAGACCUGGCCAACUUGUUUGAAUUUCCGAGCACGUCCUUUCUUUCUAUCACAGAGAAGGAGAGGUGCCCCCCUCUUCUGCUGACCCCCUCCCAACACCCCCCAUCUACCCCCACCCUAACACUAAAAAAAAUAAAAUAUAUAUUUUUUAAAUCAUUCCAUGCCAACCCUUCUCCGCUCAACACUGCACUUUUUCCCAUUUGGUGCCGUAGACAAAUAGGUUAUGGGAAACUUCUCGACCCCUCCUCUCUGACCCCCCCCCCCCCCCGUACACCCCCCCAUCUCGCGCUGUCUCUCAGUCUCUCACACACUCUCGCGCUGUCUCUAGCGCGCGUGGACUUACCGGAGCAGGGAAGCACGCGUAAUGAGCUAAGUGUUAGCGGCAAUUUUGAACCACACGCGCACAGGAUGGACUCGUUAGUGAGACGGCGUUUUGCGCACCGGCAACGGAUACUGAAUGUUUGGAAAGACGCUUGGACAGAAAGAGCCGGGAAAUAUGACCAUAACUGUCCGGCGGAAGCGAGUGAGGCGAAAUGGAGCUGUCUAAAAUAAAAUCCAGCAAUAAAAUCCAGCAUAAGGUGAAGAGAGAUGGGAGAUGAGGUCAAAUAAAAGAUGGAUUGCUCACUGUGCUGAGAGUAAAGGUUAAGAGCAUCAAUGGAUGAUGACUUCAACCCAUUUAUAGAUAUGCCCUGGAUCUGAGGGAUGGAUGAAUUGUCUUCUUUGAGAGUUUCCCAGAUUAUGUGUAUUGGUUUGUGGAGUGCAGACCAUAUACUAUAGCAGCUGGAAUUUUAAUAAAUUCACAGUAGCAUCUGGAUUGACACAAGAUACAUGCCUUGAAUGUUGUAUACAAGUGAAGUCACUAUGCAAAGUGUGAUUGUACAGCCUUCUCCUUGCACAAAUAUUUUGGAUCAAAAUUUACUUGAAUAUGUUUGCACUAUGAAGUUUAUUUAUACAAUAAAUUGUUUAUUUUUCUAGAAGGACAUUGCAGUGUGUGAUUUGUUUUUCUGAAUUGUAGAUGAUGGAAUUUCUAAUACGGUGGAUAUUAAAAUGAUCAGUCUUAGGUCGACUGAAAUGGUAAAUGUGGCUCAAUCAUUAUUUCACCAAGAGAGUGCUACACUUGAAGUUAUUGUUACAUUUAUAUAAUUUAGUAGCUACUGUGAUUCCUGUUGGUUUGAAAUCAUAGUAAGGUAACCUUCACAGUUAAAAGGGUCCAUUCAUAUUUGUUCAUACAGUACAUUCCCAUUUUACUUAAUGUUGCCUCUCUGUUGGCCAUGUCGUCCCAUAACAUUGCAGUCAUCUUUGAUUGACUGACAUGUUACUGGUGUUAUGAGAAUUACCGCACAUACAGUGUAUUUUUGCAAUAUGACACUUUACUCUACCUUCUAGCCUAUGCAGUAGGCAAAUAAAUCCUAAGAAAUAAUGAUAGAAUAUAUAAAUAGAAUUUACAUAAAGAAAUAAAAUAUGUCCCAGGCUUAUUCUGACACCCACAAUGUGCUGCUGAGAUUUGAUUGACAUGGACAUAUCACAUAUGGCAAUAGGAUUUCAGGCCAUGAUGGAAUUUUAUUGUCUAGCUGCACUUUUUGUUCCCUCCCCCGAAAAAAAAAAUGACACUUUUGACAAAUCAUAAUGAGAAUAAGUUAAGCCAAGGAGAAAGACCAAAUUCACAAUUCAGGAGUAAUGUAAGUGUGCCAUUUGCAAGGAAUUGCAUCAGGAAGAGGUUCAGACACUCAGAGCCGUGUGUCUUGAGGUAGGACGAGACCAGAUCAGACAUUCUACCCCCUCCUUCUGUGUCACACAGUGUGUAUCACAUGGGAGCCUUGCUGUACACCUGAACACAAAGCCGGCCAUUGUGUGUGUGGAACUGUGGGCCUGACCUCAGAGUCAUGUGACCAGGCUCUGGCCAGGUGUUGCCUGAAUCUGGAACAGUGAACAGCUUCAUUCUCAUGACUAAAAGGGACAAAGAGAUGUAAGCAGCAUGAUAAUGAACCGUGAGUGACUGGAACAAAAGUGUGUGUGUGUGUGUGAGUGUGUGUGUGUGUGUGUGUGUGUGUGUGUGUGUGUGCGUGUGUGUGCGUGUGCUUCUGUGUGCCUUUCAUUCUGUACGAUUUAAUACCCCCCAAAAAAACAAAACAGCUUGGUCGACACUAAAUGUACUUGACUUUUAAUGAAAAUAAUAACCUUACUUUCCAGUUACUUUAGCCAGAAAAAUCUUUCUGAAAUCCUGUAAAUGAAAAUAAGGACAACUUCAAAAUGACUGGCACUACCCUAAUCACAUUAAGCAGCCAGAUUGAGGGAUUUCUAUCGUCAAUCUCUGAUGAUUGAUGUGCCAUGUUCAGUUAUGAAUCACAGAUCUUCCCAGAACUGGUGCUGGUUAGCCCCAGCACAAUUGGAUUGGGCCAAAAGCAUGUGAAACCACAAAACGCCAGAGAAGCCUUGUAACAGAAUCACUUAGGAUUGAUCUGAAAUAAACAAGAAACAAAGAGACCCGAUCAUUUUUUUUUCUCGGGUGACACUUGAAUUUGCACAAAAAAGAAAUCAACCGAAAAAGCUUUUAAGGCCAAAGUAAGUGACCUUGGAAGGCUUGGGAGAGGUAUUUAACUUUUAAACUCCAUUACCUACUGCAAGAGUCAGUUCUGCAGGGUUUUUUUUUUCUUUUUUUCUUUUUUCAGGAAAAAGUAAAGCACAGUGCAGUAUUUCACUUUUAUCUCCAGAUAGCAGGUCUUUGUGUUAUCUUAUUCUUAUUGGGAAAGAGGGCAGAAAAGUGAAAGGGGGAGAAAAAAAAAAGACUAAGGCAACCUGCACUCCCUGUGGACGCUGAGAUACCAAACACCUCCAUUCCAAACUUUUCCAACUUUCAUGCAAGAGAAAUGAAGCCCUGUUGUACUGUAAGAGAAUCUGCUUUUUCACUUCAGCUACAGACAAACAGUAGGAUGUGUUAGAACAGCCAAGAAUAUGCCAUUGAAGCGGGGACCAUUUUUGUGAGUGUGUGUGUGUGUGUGUGUGUGUGUUUGUGAAAGUGAAAGCAGGCAGCCUACAAUAAAGAGAGCUUUUAGAGAAAGAACUGUGUAACAUAUUCCCAGUGUGUCUGUCUGCUCGUCAGGAUUCACAGACAUGCCAGGUGAUGUCCUCCAAAGUGCAGAUCUGCCAAUAUGAUGGGCCCCAGUGACAGUAUAUACACACACAUACAUAUACACAGCACACUGAUUUUCCACAGAUGGGUGGCAGUGGCCUCUGAGGUUGUUCUCUCCUUCAGUCUGACGUGUGAUGUGUUUCAUGGCACAGCUCGAGGAAUCAUGGCAGAGGUGGAUAUGACACCCGUUCCUCAUGCUCAUGCCUGAGUGUGAAGAGGAGCCCGGUAUAGUUCCAUCUGUUUUUCUACUCGCCACUUGUUUUUACUCUUGCCAUGGGAGCAAUCCGACGAUCCGUAGAUUUUGUUUGAUGCAUGUGCGCAUUUGCACACCUAUGUAUAUGUGUGUUUGUGCAUCUCAUGCCGCUGUGUCUCUUUGUGCUUUGAAGCUUGCUAGAUAGUGAUUGAUUCAGAAGUAUAGAUACAGCACAGUGUGGGAGUCUCCAGAGAGGCAGAAAACCAUCAAGCUGAAGCACAAGGCCAGUCAUCUCGCUCUCUCUCUCCCUUCACAUUUUCACUGAUAUGUAACAUUGGUGUUUAUUGCUGCAAAAACACACUGGUGUCUUGAUGUAUUUGUGUGUUUAUACUGGGCUGUGACAUGCCAGCUUUACUGCCUCGUAGGACUGGCUUCUGGUUCACUGAGUUCACUGUGCUUUGAGAGACAACAUCAUGCAACAAAGAGUGGUUAGUUAUUAUUUUUUUAAGUCAAUGGAAAUAGCGGGUUAAAUGAUAUUAAGCAAUCAAAAAGAUGCACAAGAUACAAGCAUACAAAGCAGUAACUUAUCCUACUAACUUCAUUGUCUAAUUAAUGUGACAUGAAUAGUUUUUCUCCAUACCUACCCUAGUAAUGUUCACUUUUAUUUAGCUAACAUUGAAAUUAAAAUAACAGCAUUCUGCCCCAUUAAACAAAGAUCAACAGUGGCCAUAUAUACACUGAUCAGCCAUAACAUUAAAACCAUCUGCCGAAUAUUGUGUAGGUGCCACCAAAAAAACUCUGAACCAUCGAGGCAUAGACUCCACAAGACCUCUGAAAAGUGUGCUGUGGUAUCUGGUACCAAGACAUUAGCAGCAGAUCCGCAUUUAUGUCCUUGCAAGGUGUGAGGUGGGGCCUCCAUGGAUCAGACUUGUUUGUCCAAGACAUCCAAACAGAUGCGUGAUCGGAUUGAGAUCUGGGGAAUUUGGAGGCCAAGUCAACACCUUGAACUCUUUGUCAUGUUCCUCAAACCAUUCCUGAACAUUUUAUGCAGUGUGUCAGGAAGCAUUAUCCUGCUAAAAGAGGCCACCGUUGCCAUGAAGGGGUGAACUUGGUCUGCAGUGAUGUUUAGGUCGGUGGUACGUGUCAAAUUACCAUCCACAUGAAUGCCAGGACCCAAGGUUUCCCAGCAGAACAUUACCAAGAGCAUCACUGCCUCCGCAGGCUCGCCUCCUUCCCAUAGUGCAUCCUGGUGCCAUCUCUUCCCCAGGUAAGCAACGUACAUGCACCCGUCACUCACAUGAUUCAUCAGACCAGGCCACAUUCUUCCAUUGGUAUUUGGCCCAGUUCUGAUGCUGUUUUAGUGGCACAAGGGGGACCUACACAGUAUUUUGCAGGUGGUUUUAAUGUUAAUGCUGAUCGGUAGAUCAGUUUGCAUCGGUUUGCAUCUUCCAUUCUGAAUUUAUUAUAAAUAUCCACAAACAACAGAGCUCACCCUCUGUCUUAUAACUUUU
ensembl:lncRNA